rnacentral:rRNA from 1 species
CCUACGGGAGGCAGCAGUGGGGAAUUUUGGACAAUGGGCGCAAGCCUGAUCCAGCAAUGCCGCGUGCAGGAUGAAGGCCUUCGGGUUGUAAACUGCUUUUGUACGGAACGAAACGGCUCCUAUUAAUACUGGGGGCUAAUGACGGUACCGUAAGAAUAAGCACCGGCUAACUACGUGCCAGCAGCCGCGGUAAUACGUAGGGUGCGAGCGUUAAUCGGAAUUACUGGGCGUAAAGCGUGCGCAGGCGGUUAUAUAAGACAGAUGUGAAAUCCCCGGGCUCAACCUGGGACCUGCAUUUGUGACUGUAUAGCUAGAGUACGGUAGAGGGGGAUGGAAUUCCGCGUGUAGCAGUGAAAUGCGUAGAUAUGCGGAGGAACACCGAUGGCGAAGGCAAUCCCCUGGACCUGUACUGACGCUCAUGCACGAAAGCGUGGGGAGCAAACAGGAUUAGAUACCCUGGUAGUCCACGCCCUAAACGAUGUCAACUGGUUGUUGGGUCUUCACUGACUCAGUAACGAAGCUAACGCGUGAAGUUGACCGCCUGGGGAGUACGGCCGCAAGGUUGAAACUCAAAUGAAUUGACGG